rnacentral:SRP_RNA from 1 species
UCUGGGAGUACACAUCUAUAAUCCUUGCUAGUAGGAAGGCUGAGUUAGAUCUCUAAAGCGCUGGAGCUCUGAGCUGCAGUGGGCUGAGCCAAUUGGGUGUCAGCAUUAUGUUUGGCAUUAAUAUGGCUAGUCCCCUGGAGCAGGAAGUCAUCAGGUUUCUUAAGGAAGGAGGAAACAGCCUAGGUUGGAAAUGGAGCAGGUCAAAGUUUCAGAGCUAAUCAAAGUGAGAUUGGCCCAAUGAGCAGCCUCUGUACUUCGAGCCAGGCAGAGAUGUGGAGACAAA